rnacentral:rRNA from 1 species
GAGGAAUAUUGGUCAAUGGGCGAAAGCCUGAACCAGCCAAGUAGCGUGCAGGAUGACGGCCCUAUGGGUUGUAAACUGCUUUUAUAAGGGAAUAAAGUGAGCCUCGUGAGGCUUUUUGCAUGUACCUUAUGAAUAAGGACCGGCUAAUUCCGUGCCAGCAGCCGCGGUAAUACGGAAGGUCCGGGCGUUAUCCGGAUUUAUUGGGUUUAAAGGGAGCGUAGGCCGGAGAUUAAGCGUGUUGUGAAAUGUAGAUGCUCAACAUCUGCACUGCAGCGCGAACUGGUUUCCUUGAGUACGCACAAAGUGGGCGGAAUUCGUGGUGUAGCGGUGAAAUGCUUAGAUAUCACGAAGAACUCCGAUUGCGAAGGCAGCUCACUGGAGCGCAACUGACGCUGAAGCUCGAAAGUGCGGGUAUCGAAC